CCUACGGGUGGCAGCAGUGAGGAAUAUUGGUCAAUGGACGAGAGUCUGAACCAGCCAAGUAGCGUGAAGGAUGACUGCCCUAUGGGUUGUAAACUUCUUUUAUAUGGGAAUAAAACGUUCCACGUGUGGGAUUUUGUAUGUACCAUAUGAAUAAGGAUCGGCUAACUCCGUGCCAGCAGCCGCGGUAAUACGGAGGAUCCGAGCGUUAUCCGGAUUUAUUGGGUUUAAAGGGAGCGUAGGUGGAUUGUUAAGUCAGUUGUGAAAGUUUGCGGCUCAACCGUAAAAUUGCAGUUGAAACUGGCAGUCUUGAGUACAGUAGAGGUGGGCGGAAUUCGUGGUGUAGCGGUGAAAUGCUUAGAUAUCACUAAGAACUCCGAUUGCGAAGGCAGUUCACUGGACUGCAACUGACACUGAGGCUCGAAAGUGUGGGUAUCAAACAGGAUUAGAUACCCUUGUAGUC
rnacentral:rRNA from 1 species